rnacentral:rRNA from 1 species
ACAGAGGUCUCAAGCGUUGUUCGGAUUCAUUGGGCGUAAAGGGUGCGUAGGUGGUGGGGUAAGUCGGAUGUGAAAUCCCGGGGCUCAACCCCGGAACUGCAUUCGAUACUGCCUUGCUCGAGUACUGGAGAGGAGACUGGAAUUUACGGUGUAGCAGUGAAAUGCGUAGAUAUCGUAAGGAAGACCAGUGGCGAAGGCGAGUCUCUGGACAGUUACUGACACUGAGGCACGAAGGCCAGGGGAGCAAACGGGA